GUAGGUGGCAAGCGUUGUCCGGAAUUAUUGGGCGUAAAGCGCGCGCAGGCGGUUCUUUAAGUCUGAUGUGAAAGCCCACGGCUCAACCGUGGAGGGUCAUUGGAAACUGGAGAACUUGAGUACAGAAGAGGAAAGCGGAAUUCCACGUGUAGCGGUGAAAUGCGUAGAGAUGUGGAGGAACACCAGUGGCGAAGGCGGCUUUUCUGGUCUGUAACUGACGCUGAGGCGCGAAAGCGUGGGGAGCAAACAGGGAUUAGAUACCCUGGUAGUCCACGCCGUAAACGAUGAGUGCUAAGUGUUAGGGGGUUUCCGCCCCCUUAGUGCUGCAGCUAACGCAUUAAGCACUCCGCCUGGGGAGUACGCCGCAAGGCUG
rnacentral:rRNA from 1 species